rnacentral:misc_RNA from 1 species
ACAUCCUACCCGGCAGGCCUCUUCAUUCGUUGCCGAGGUGCUUUGUUUGCCUUGGGCGAAGCAUGUGUUUCCUGUGCUGUGUACCUAAUCGAAAGGCAUUCGGAGGUCCCAUUGUCUCUUGUUUGCCUCGCGGUGCCCCAUUUUGGCCGUGGCUUGGGGUGAACCUCAGUGCUUUUUCCGUGUGUCGUGUUGGACACCUUGUGCCGCACAUGUCCCACAGAGAUUUGCUUGAACUCUCGAAUGCAGAACGCUUUCCGGGUACGAGGGGUCUACGGCCUCAUUUUGCCCAAACAAGCGUUCGUCGCUUAUUAGCGCACGACGGCUUACCCGUUGUGAGUGCCCGUUCCUUGGUUCGGCCCGCUCGCGGGGUGUGCCAGCGUCGUGGAGGAAUGCU